rnacentral:rRNA from 1 species
GAUGAACGCUGGCGGCGUGCUUAACACAUGCAAGUCGAACGGUGGAGGCGGAGCUUGCUCUGCUGGAUCAGUGGCGAACGGGUGAGUAACACGUGAGCAAUCUGCACCUGACUCUGGGAGAAGAGCUGGAAACGGCGGCUAAUACUGGAGACGAGCUGCGAAGGCAUCUUCAGCAGCUGUAAAGAAUUUCGGUAAGGGAUGAUCUCGCGGCUUAUCAGCUGGAUUGUGAGGUAAUGGCCGACCAAGCCUUCGACGGGUAGGCGGCCUGAGAGGGGGACCGGCGACACUACGACUGAGAGACGGACCAGUCUCCAACCGGAGGCAGCAGUGGGGAAUAUUGCACAAUGGGCGCACGCGUGAUGCAGAAACGCCGCGUGCGGGAAGAUGGCCUUCGGGUUGUAAACAUAUUUUAGCAGGGAAGAAGCGAAAGUGACGGUACCUGCAGAAAAAGCGCCGGCUAACUACGUG